rnacentral:rRNA from 1 species
GAACGAACGCUGGUGGCGUGUCUUAUACAUGCAAGUCGAGCGAGGCAGCAAUGCCGAGCGGCGAACGGGUGAGUAACGCGUAAGCAAUCUGCCCCAUAUCAGGAAAUACCCGUGCCAACGCGCGGUUAAUGUCCAGGAGAGUGGCCUUCCGCAUGGAGGGUUGACUAGAGAUUUAUCGGUAUGGGAUGAGCUUGCGUCCGAUUAGCUAGUUGGCGGGCAACGGCCCACCAAGGCGACGAUCGGUAGCCGGCCUGAGAGGGUGAUCGGCCACAUUGGGACUGAGAUACGGCCCAGACUCCUACGGGAGGCAGCAGUAGGGAAUAUUGCACAAUGGGGGAAACCCUGAUGCAGCAACGCCAACCGUGUGGGAAGAAGCAUUUCGGUGUGUAAACCACUGUCAUGAGGGAAUAAGGCCCGCCUUCGGACGGGAUUGAAUGUACCUUGAGAGGAAGCACCGGCAAACUUCGUGCCAGCCGCGGC